GGGGGUAUAGCUCAGUGGUAGAGCGCAUGCGGGCUUAGCGUGCACGAGGCAAUGGGUUCAUUCCCCAGUACCUCCA
rnacentral:tRNA from 1 species